UCUGUUUACAGGUUUAACUGAUCAUAAGCCAACCCAAACAUCCCUUCUGCGACGGGCACAGUACAGACUACCCGUUGUCUCAGAGAUUAUACUAUCGACAGCUUCUCUUGUUUAUAGAGUUGUUCCCUUCUCUGUAUCUCCAAUGGCGUCCGAUCUCGGAAUGAAGGCCAAGGAGGCUUUCGUCGACGAUCACUUCGAGCUGGCGGCCAACCUCUUAACGCAGGCCAUCGCCCUUAACCCCAGCAACGCCGGCUCUACGCUGAUCGUGCUCAGGCCAAUAUCAAACUGAACAAUCUAACCGGUUUUUUUUUUUUUUUUUUAUUGUUUUUCCUCGUGUUUGUUACUAUAUUCAACUGUUUUCUUGGUGAUUUGAAAACUUUGGCAUUGAACUCAAUUGCUUAACUGUGAUACUUGUCAAAUUGAUAUCCUUCAAGAGUACUUAGGCGUUGUUUGGGAGAAUUUUCAAUUCUUGUUUCAGUUUGAAAUUCACAUUGGAUGUAGUCAGUUUUUGUAAUUAUGCAUAGAAAAACUUGUGCUAUUGUAUUGUUCUGAUCGGAUAAGAAAAAAGGAUGUCUAAUUUCUUCCUAUGAUAUUUAGAGGCCGUUGCUGAUGCAAACAGAGCAAUUGAGUGGGAUCCUUCGAUGGCUAAAGCUUACUUACGCAAAGGAACUUGGGCCAGCUCCGUUCCCUUUCCUUUCGUCUUCUAUGCUUGUGCUCUCUUACUCGCCUGGCUAGUGGCUACCCCGGCGCACAGGGAUUGGGCUAUACAUUUUUUGAAGUCUAUUUCAUCUGGGAAGAUAAAAGUAUGCAAUUUUUUGGAGGAUCAGAUAUCAGUCCAUCGCCACCAACAACAACAGCGUCAGGGAACAAUGCGCACAUGAUGUAUGUGUUCAAUAGGAAUGGGGUGUGCUUGCUUUACAGGGAGUGGAUUCGCCCACUUCAUACCCUCAAUGCGCAGCAGGACCAUGAGCUUAUAUUUGGUCUUCUUUUUUCUCUCAAGUCUCUAACUGCCAGGAUGGAUCCCACGAGGCUUAGUUUCUAUUUGUAAUCCAACCAUAUUUCAUAUCUUGGAUGCUUUCUUUUUUGGAGUGCAGAGAAAGGAAACCUUGGAAUGCCUCAGUUGCCUGGCCAAGGUUGUUCAUUCCACAGCUUUCGUACAAAUACUUACAAACAUAGUUUCAUGGAAAGGCCUUGUGGGAUAAAGAUUAUUUUGGUUACUCAUCCCUGGACCGGUGAUCUACGUGAAUCCCUAAAGUACAUUCACAACUUGUAUGUUGAAUAUGUUGUCAAAAACCCCCUCUAUACUCCUGGAGCUCCUAUCAGGUAACAAAUGUAUUUUUUUAUCAUUUUGAACUAAAUUAUAGAAGCUGCUUCAUGCAGAAAUGUUAGUAUUUUUUUCUCUUAAGACCUCAUUGUGGUGGGGCUUAAACUCAGUAAAUAUAAAAUGUCUUUAUAUCCUAAAACCUGUGAAUGGAUCUUUUCCUCCAAAAACCUGAAAAAAUAACUUUAAAUUUGAUUUGGUUAUUGCGAACCUUGGUUCAGUCUGAUUGGAUUAUUCUCAAUCCAAUCUUCAUGGGCUUGGUUUGAAUAUUUUAUUCAAGCUCAAGCUCAAGCUCAAGCUGGUGCUGAAAUAAUUUAUGAACACUCCUGCUGGCUACCAAUGUAGGCACACCUUAUGAUUUGUUCAGUUAAGUGAAUUAUGAAAAGACACAUUAUUGAUCUAAAUUUGGAUGCUUCUAUGUUUUGUUACUUAAUAUCAAGAUUAACUGUUGACUUAAAUAAUCUUUUAGUUCUCUUGAGGAGUUGAGGUGUUUAACCAGGCAUUGAUGGCUUGUGCCAUGAUAAUUUAUUUGUACACCCUAUUUAAUGAUACUGGAUCAACUACACUAGUCAUUUUCUCAGAAUAAUGAGUUUUUAAAAUGUGAAUCUCAGAAUCUGACUACAACUCUGUUAAUCAAAUAAUAAAGAAAUCAGCAAAAAUUUGUUCCUGGCUUGAGAAACAAAACUGGGCUUGACAAAGAGUAGGAUGUGAUCUGGUAAAAUAUGCUGAAUCUUAUGAUUUCAAGGUUGGUUCAUGUAGUUUAUGACUUUAUGUUGAUGUAAAAUAUAACGUCAUGUGAGGUGAGUUUUUGGGCCUUUCCUUGCUUCUUUUCUCUUUCCCAGUGCUUGUUGGAUCUGAAGUGAAGUGAAAACCAUUGUUUGUAAAUUGUAUUACUGCUGGAUGUUAUGCAUCUUUAUUAGAUGCAUAUACUUUAGAAGGAAUAUGACUGGGUUCCCUUGGCCACUUGUUCAAGUGGUAAGAUGGUAGAAUAGGGAAAAUUUUAUUGGCAUUUUUUUUCUUGUAGUUCCUUUUGAUCUUUUAUUAAGCUGUUACUUACAUCAGACACUGGCUUUGUUUAAGAUUCCCAAGCUGUAGGCUAAUUUUUUACCUGAUGCACUUGUAUUUGCUUUGUGUAUGUGUGAGUUGUUCAAUACCUCUCUUGAUCAAUAUAUAAGGAGCAUAGCCUAGUUCGCAAGUAGAAUACAGUUGCUGUAAUCUGGCUAUACACUCAAACGAAACGUGAAAAUUUGACCCUGAAGGUCAGUGGACUUGCAUAUUUUGCGGAUACAAUUUUGAAAUGUUAUGGAAUUGCAAUAGUCAAUCCUUUUCCUCUGUGCAACGAUGGAUUUACUUAACAAUAUGCUGUGCCAGCCUAUCCUUUUCUUUUGAGGACUCGAAGACGUAUGGUUCUAUUGUAUAUUCCAUCAUUAGGAUUUAAGAAAUCCCAUUUUUGUAAGAAAACGAGAUUGUGUAUCUAAAAAUGUUGGAGUUCGCAUUAUAGUCAUUCUUCUUAUAACUCCCCACAA